GACGAACGCUGGCGGCGUGCUUAACACAUGCAAGUCGAACGGAAAGGCCCUGCUUUUGUGGGGUGCUCGAGUGGGGAACGGGUGAGUAACACGUGAGUAACCUGCCCUUGACUUUGGGAUAACUUCAGGAAACUGGGGCUAAUACCGGAUAGGAGCUCCUGCUGCAUGGUGGGGGUUGGAAAGUUUCGGCGGUUGGGGAUGGACUCGCGGCUUAUCAGCUUGUUGGUGGGGUAGUGGCUUACCAAGGCUUUGACGGGUAGCCGGCCUGAGAGGGUGACCGGCCACAUUGGGACUGAGAUACGGCCCAGACGCCUACGGGAGGCAGCAGUGGGGAAUAUUGCACAAUGGGCGGAAGCCUGAUGCAGCAACGCCGCGUGCGGGAUGACGGCCUUCGGGUUGUAAACCGCUUUCGCCUGUGACGAAGCGUGAGUGACGGUAAUGGGUAAAGAAGCACCGGCUAACUACGU
rnacentral:rRNA from 1 species